AGAAAAACUGAGGUGAAUGACCUCACUAUAAUCACAGCAGAGGGAAGGGUGGAUUUGCUUAGCUAAUUACACUACAACAAGUGAUCUGGUCUACAACCUCCUCUGUAAUAUUUAUUUUUAAUGAAAUAUACAAAAGUUUGCAAACAUCUUGUCUGCCUUAUAAGUAUUUCCCUCAGGACUAUUUAAAGAUCAAAAAGGAAAUUUCAAAUGUGCAAUCUGCUGAAAAAAAAAAGUAAGCAAGUAAACAGCAAAACAAGCUCCCUAUCUUCCAGUAGGCAACCCCCCAGCUAAUAUAUUCUGUUCCACAUCCUCCACCCACUCCUUCUUUCAUUAGUCCAGUUAUCCAAGGGAUAUCUUGAAAUUAUGGGCCUGGGAGAGCUCACCUGUCCCUUUCUUCUUUUGAUACUUUAUUUCCAGGCUCAUGAGCUCCCUCCCCUUAGCACAACCACUUAUAAAGUUUCCAAACUACCCCAUCUCUUUGCAUUCUGAUCUUCACCCCUGUUCCUCAGCUGUCCAGCACCAGGUGGACACACAAUCGAUACUGCUUAUCAAUGCUGAUGAUUCCUGGCUCUCUCAGUUUGUCCCUUUCUCUUGCUGGGAAUACCACUUCGGGAUACAGCUCAUCCAGGGGAAAUGUAUUCAGCCUCUCACCUUGCCCUAUUCUUAUUUAGGCCAGCUAAAAUCAAUUUAAGAUGAUGGUGAGUUUGCCAAGAAUCCCAAGACAGCAGCACCCUGAAAGCCGACCUGUUGAAAAAUCUUUGAUCGUGAAAUACAGCCAAUGCAAGUCUUGUCAUGUCACUGUUUAUCCCCAUGCUCCCAUCCCUGUCUUUAAGGAUGAAUCCAAUGGCGACAAGAAAGUUUUGUGAGAAAAAAAAAAAAAAGCUCAUGUGGGCCUUUUCAAAGCACAAGUCUGGUGAUUCUUUCUGGUACACAUUUUUUUCCGAGAUUUCAGUUCAUAAGGACAACAUCAACAACAACAGAACAAAAGGAGAAUGGAAUAAACUGACCAAACCCACCGCCACAAAAAAAACCAGGCUCACAGAGGCAUCACCUGACCUUGCGUGUGUGGGAGAGAGUGUCUCCCAGACAUGAGUAGAAAUCCCAACCACCAGUGCAGCCUCAUCUAGCACCAGGUGUUUGUAACUGGUUGAAGAGGGCUGGGUCUGAUCAGCUGCCCCAGCUGUGGUUGGAAACUGGUCUUCCUCGAAUGUGCGGCCUUGGAAUACUUCCAGUAGAUACAGCCUUUCAGGCACUGUAACCUCAAACCUGAGCUGGGAAUGAGGUCAUGACAAAACUCAGCCUCAAGAUGCAGGAAAAUGAGUGAGGAUUAAGAACAGUUUCAGAUGAUGGUGAAGUCAAACUCCCGGCCAGAGAGAGUUAGGGUGGAGUCAGUUUAAAGACAACAUGGAGGCCCGGGAGUUUGCCCUGGCAGAGGGCUUGGGGCCGGUGUGGAUGGAGGAGCACUUCAUCACCCCCCUGGUGGAAUGUCGCAGGCCAUCCCAAGCCCCCUCGAUGGGGUUGAAACGGAAUGAGGAAGUAUCUGAAUGUGGAAUAGACUGGGGUAUGAGAAGAAUGCUGUGACAGGAGUGUCUAGGCCUCCAUCUGCUCACCUGAAUGGUGAGAACAAUACCCAAUUGCAAGAAAACACAACGAGCUGAAUUGUGUCACUCUGAAACAUCACCCAACAUACUGAGUGGAUACCAUACAUCAGGCACUGCACUAGGCAGGGUGGGGCAAGAGAAGAUGAAUGGGACCCUCCUCCUGCUCUCAAGACCUAUUAGGGAAGAUGCAAAAUGGAUUGACAUACUACAUGAGAAGCCACAGAAUUCUGAAGACUAGAGAUGAGAACCCCAAGGCACACAGGGAUGGCUUCCUCCUUGUCAUAGACAGAGCCUACACAUCCAGGUUGUGCUUUCCCCAGAGCCUCUCAUCCCAUAGGUGUGGUGAGACCGGAGUCUCCAGCCUCCCUGCCUGGACCACCACCUCCCAACGCUUCACACACUGAGGUCUCUAUCCCACAUGCCUCCAGACCUUCCCUGCAAGAAUCCAUGGAUGAGUCAGCCUUGGGGGCUGAGAAAGUCUUAUUUUUACAGGGGCCAUGAAAGGAGCUACUUGGGAGUUGGCCUUUCCCUCUCAGUUCAAAUUCAGGGUGUGUUCUCUUACAGAGGCAAUGUUUUUGAAGGAAUGGUUGUUGUUUAUUAAUAUGAGGAAUAUGUUCAGCUAUAUUAUGGUAUCUGUGAAAUGGUCUAGACAGUAAGCCAUUAGUGAGCUGAAAGCUAUCUAUAAUCCAGUUUUGCACAUGAGCCCAACAUUCCUACUGACUGAGCCAAACUUCUGCCUUCUACUUGACAUAAGCAAUGGCAGUACCAGGAUGUGGAGUCAGACACGCCCCUGGGACCCCUCCCUGCAGCAGAGGGGAUCCUGGAACUUGGUGCCAGAGAUAUGGGUUCAACUGCUAAUUGGUCCACCUUGGACACUGCUCUGGGAGUGUCCUCUGUGAGACUCUGUCUUUCCUCAAGGGUAUAAUGACAAUGGUUGUGAAGGUGGAGUGUAAUCACUGGGAAGAAGCUCGGAGACAAUUGUUGUUCAAGAACUGUUAGUUGAAUAUGAAUCCCAAACAGAAUAAUGAGUGAUACCAUGAACUGCCAAGGUUAUUAAUAGGUUGUGCAAGUCUAGAAUCACUCUUUCUGUUUCCAAAGACCAAUAUCCAUCCCCCACCCCCACCCCCCACCCUGCCGCCACUUCAGAAUCUCACUCUCUUACCUUUAAAUGUUGCCAGCUCCUCCUCACAUGAUCAGGGAAUGUUUCUGGUGCCUUAAGUCUUAUACCUUUUGCUUUGUGUCAGAGACCCUCAGAAUAGCCACCCCCCCCCCACACACACACCCACCCUUGACUUGGUAAGGAGGCAUGAGGAACAUUGCCAGAUUUAGCAAAUACAAAUAUAGGACAUGCAGUUAAAUCUGACUUCCAGUUGAACAACGACUAUUUGCACAGGACAUCCUUAUAAUUAGGAAAUGACUCAUUAUAUAUCUGAAGGUCAGAUUUAAACUGGAUACCAGGUAUUUUAUGUCAGCCCUAGGCAUAUAGUGUAUUCAUAUCAUGUAGGUGAUGGGUCAGAUUGUCCUAGGGACAGUGCCAUUGGAGCCACUGAAUGAUAGAACUCUCUUCAGUCCUGAGUAGUUUCAGGAUAUCUGGGGGGCCCACCCUUGUAUCUCCUCUAUUUUUCAUUCCCUGGUCAGGACAUGCUAGCAGCUGAAGGCUUCCUUUCAGCCCAACGCCCCCUGUCAAGCAGGAAAUUAGUUCCCCUUCCUCCAGGAACAGCCCUCAGCCAGUGUUGGGUGGAGGUUGGAGGAUCAAUAUCUCAGCCCUUUCGUCUCUGGGUGGUGGCAAUAAAUCAGAGGCGUGUGUUCUCUUCUACAACUGUCCCUAAGUUCUGCAGUGUUACUCCAAAUGCCCACGGGGUAACCACUAACAGUGCACCCUUUAUAGGCUUCUCUUCCCUUCUCUGUCUCACUUUCCGCCUCUUCUAAUAGCGCUACCUUGGCCACCUCCCAGAUAAACCCCCUGCACGUAGAUCCAUGGUUCUAGGUUGGCUUUUGAAGGCCUCCGCCUAGGACGAAGCUGAAUGUUCUUUCUCUAACUCCAGACUCUCCAGCCACCUCAGCCCUCAGGAAUCACCAAAGGUUAAAUUCAAAGGGUAUGUCUAGAAAAUACAGAGCCAGGAACCCAAGGAUGAUGUCAGGAGUCCUAACACACUGGUUGCUGAGAUUUGUGGACACCCUAGCAACCAAAGGAGACACUCAUGGGAGGAGGGCUCAGCCUUAUUGUCCUGUUACCAGCCUACCAAGCCAGGAGCCCUGGAGUGGAAGAGCCAUGUUCUGUGUUCAUGGACGAAGGAUGGUAUCCCACGUCCUAUCCCAUCCUUCCAGGAAGUUAACCCUGUAGUCCAUUCACAUAUCGAUAUGUCUCCAGAACCUGUCCUGUGAGUAGAUUCCAGAGUCUGUGGGGUCCUAGUUGGCCUAAGAUACUGGGAAGGGCAAGGGCUUUGAAACCAGAGCAAUCUGGGCUUAAAUCUUGGUCUGCUUCUACCGACCCGUGAUCCUGGAUAAAUGGCCUCUGUUUCUUCACCUAUAAAAUGAGAGUGAUCAUGAUUUUCUUGGGUGAAUUACAUGAAAUCAUGUACGUAAGGGCUGAACACUGGGUGGCAGUCAGUAAAGCACUCCACGAACGCUAUUUCUCUUCCCCGAUUGUAAUGUACCAGUAAACCAACCUGACAAGAACAUGUACCCUGGUAUAAUGCUGUCUGCGUACUAGCAGCUCCCACACCCCUGUCUCUCACUCUGACUGGAAGUCAGGCAGAGACCUUGUUAAUUGAUUCAGCAGCCUUGAUCUGCUAAGCUCUUCCUCCCACCUUGCCUUUCUCUUGGUUAUCAAGAAGGUUCUGCAAAGAUUGCCAUCAGCAAGGCCGUCCAGCCUUAUUCUAGAGUGGAUCACACCAGUAAUUUGCUGUGAUGGAUAGCGUGCCUCAAACAGCCUGUGUAAUUGUGGUGAGCAGGCAGAGCAGUGGAGCCACUGUGUUUAGGAAAUUCAGACUUGCAAGGAACACGGCGCUGCCUAAGCCACAGUCAUUCCAAAAUUAGACCUUUCCUCUACUCCAUCAUUACAUGGGUAAGCAGUCAGAGCACUUCCUGAAUACGAACCACAUAUCAGAAGUGAUUUAUGGAAACAUCCACAUGUGUGUGGAUGGGUGGCAGAGGGAGGGAGGGAGCCUCGGGGUUGGCCCCAGACCUCACUGCCACUCUGCACAUUUCUGCUCAGACCAGUCACUGGUAGUCUCAGCCAUAGCUCUAGCAAAAAUGGUGGCUGUCCCUCCACCGCAGGGACAGGGAAGGGCCACAGUCUACUGGGGAGAAGAAAUUUAAAGUUCUUUCAUUCAUAAACUUGCCAGACCAUAUGGCCCCUGGCCAUGCACAUUAAUAGUUCAGGUGCCCUGGAUCCUGCCCUAAAGGUACUGAUUCAAUGGAUCUAGCUUGGGGUCCGGGCAUCUGUGUUGAACAGGCUCCCUCAGUUAGAGGUUCUCAAACUGCGGCUGUGCAUUAGAGUCACUGGGGAACUUUCAACUAUCCUGAUGCCCAGGUUUCAUCCCAGACCAACAACAUCAGAGUCGCUGGCUGUGGGACCCAAGGAAGGGGCUCUUUAAAGAGCUCCAGGUAAUGCCCAAGUGUGUGAUCAAGUUUGAGACUCAAUGCCUGGAUAAUUUGUAAAUCAGACACGUUUGGGAAAUACAAGUUGAGGGACAAAGGCCUAACUAGGAGAGACUUAUUUAUUUGUCAUCAGCAAACUGCAAUUCAAAGCCCCUGAUGGCUUAGGCAUAUAAAAAUGUGUUGUGCAGGCCGAUUCCAAGCAGUUGUCCUGAAACCUGGGUGAUCAUUAGCAUCGCCAAGUUUAUGCACUUUUCUAAUACAGUUUCCCAGAUCUCAACUCAAAUUCAAUGAACCAUAGCUCUAUAUUUUUUAAAGCUCCCAUAGGUCAUUUGGAUGCUCCUCAGCUUCUUGGAACCAGUGACUUCAGAGAAUUUAUAAAAGGUUGAAUCUUUUGAUUUAUAAUUAUGUAGGAGGCAUAAGGGUUUGAGCCACAAGGAAAUUUAAUGGUGACUAAGCAUUUCUAGAGAUAUUUUUAUUUUUUAAAUUUUUGUUAAAAAAAAAAGAUGCUUGGUUGACAAGUGGAAAUUCUAAAAUAGAUGUCAUGUUCUAAAUUUCUAAUUUGGUGUUUCCUUAAUUAACUCCUCAGAUAGAAGCUGUGGUGAGGUAACUCCACCGUUCAAGUUGAUUUCCCCUUCUUGGUGCCACUUCUAACCAAGCAAGAAAAAGAGGUUAAAAUUUCCCUUCCCCUCCCAAUCACUACAACAGGAAAACAAAAUUACCCAAUCAGAGGAUCCAUGAGGUCCCCGGAAUCACCUCCUGGGUGCGUUAACGGUUACAGGCCCUCUGUUUCCUGGGGGGGCUCCCCCUGCUGACAACAUGUGGGAUGAUUUCUGAUUAGUGCGCCACGAGGGCUGUGGGGCUGCCCCCUCCAGUG